GCAAACAAGAAUUUUAAAAAAUCCUCACGACUUUGCUUGGUUUCUGCGGCGGUCAGAUUCACGAGUAACGACUUACGACUACAACCUCAGCGACGGCGACUUCAUUCAGGUUCAUAACUUCCCCAAGGUGUGUAUUACAUGAUAAUAGGAAGUUUGUCGUACGUAGUGCAUUUACUGUCACUUAUUUUUCCAGUUUGGCAUUAAGGCCAAACCACAGAUAUUCAAAGAUGGAAGUUCUUCAUCAUAGGGAUAAAAGUGAUCAGCUGGCAUAAAGUGCUCUGUGCCACGUACAGUUAAUAAGCAAACCACUUUAAAACAAGAAAUUAAUUCAUCAACCAACCAGAAAAUAUGUGUUGAAGUACACACCUUGAAGAAACAAAGAUUAGAACUUUCUGAAUAUUCAAGAAAGUAUUCCCUUGCAUAAGUUUCUUGGAUUAUUAUUAUUGUUUACUUUUUUCGGGAUCUAUGUCUACUAUGUGUAUUAUAUUACCAUAUCAAUGAAGAACAUAUUGUAGUAUUUUGAUUAUUAGAUCAAUUUGGAUUAAUUUUCAUAGAGGUUAGAGCUUUUGCUACAGAGUAUUAGAGCUUUUGCUACUACCUAUAUUUCUGUAUGUUAUUCUAAAGUUUUGCCUUUUUUCCAGCUUAAUCACACUAGAAGUAGAAAAUGACCACUUAAUUUAUUUUCUAGGUUGUUCUCUGCUUUUGUACUAGGCUUUUCUCUGCUCAUUAUGGUUUAUACGACCAUUCGCCCUUGUAAUAUUUUGCUUGUAGUAUUCUAUUUAGUGUUUUGAUUUUAACAAUUUGCGAUUAUAUUUGUUUUAAUUUUAUAUAGAUGGCGGAUGAAACUAUAGUAAGUAAUGUUGGUUCAACUAAAAGCUUACCUAUUACUGAUGAUAGCAAUGCCAACAUAAUUGAUAUUCAAGAUUCUAACAAAAGAAAAGCCAUAGAACUUAGAUCCGAAGUUUGGAAACAUUUUGAUAAAUUUUAGGAAAAUGGGGUCGGUAAAGCAAGGUGUAAAUAUUGUAAGCAAGUUUAGGCUGCUAAUUCAUCUAAGAAUGGAACAACAGGAUUGAGAAGUCAUUUGAAUAAAUGCAAAGAAUACCCACCUAAUAUUGAUAAAGAUAAUACUCAGACAAGGCUAAACUUUCAAUCUUGCCAAAAUGAUGGAGGAUCGCUUUGAAAAUUCGAUCAAGAAGUGAUUAGGAUGGCUUUAAUUGAGAUGAUAGUUAUUGAUGAACUACCUUUUAGCUUUGUAGAAAAGGAAGGCUUUAUGAAGUUUAUGAGUAUAACUCAACCGCUAUUUCGUCUUCCUUCUCGUAGAAUAAUAACAAGGGAUUGUUAUGAAAUUUAUGGUGAAUUGAAGCAAAAUCUAAGAAUUUCUUUUAAAGAAGCACAACCAAAAAUUUGUCUCAUAACAGACACAUGGGCUUCAUUGCAAAGAAUAAAUUAUAUGUAUUUGAUAGCUCACUUCAUUGAUAGAGAUUGAAAGUUGCAUAAAAGAAUGCUAAAUUUUUGCCCUAUCACUGGUCAUAAGGGUGAAGAGAUAGCUAAAGCUAUUUGUAAUUGUUUGCUUGAAUGGAAAUUAGAUAAGAUGUUCACUAUUACCGUGGACAGUGCUUCUUCAAAUGAUGUCACAGUCAAAGAAUUAUCUAAAAAGUUAGAUAUGUGAAAAACUAAUAUGAUGAGUGGUAAACAUCUUCAUGUGAGAUGCAUAGCUCAUAUACUAAAUCUAAUUGUGCAAGAGGGAUUGAAAGAAAUUGAUACUUCUGUCACACGUGUUAGAAAUAUUAUGAGGUAUGUGAGAUCGUCGCCUGCAAGGACCUUAAAGUUUAAAUAGUGUUGUGCACAUGUAAAGGUAGAAUGUACCAAAACAUUAUGUUUGGAUGUUCCUACUAGGUGAAAUUCCACCUAUUUGAUGUUGGAUACGUAACAAAACUUUGAAAAGGCCUUUGACAAGUUUCAUCUUUUUGAUGAUGGAUUUUCUGCUUAUCUAUGUUCUAAUCUUUAUGAAGAAGGUAGUACUGCAGGGCCCCUUGCAUCUGAUGAUUGGGUGAAUGUGAGGAAUGUGAUAGAGUUUCUUGCAAGAUUUCACGAGCUCACCAAAAAAGUUUCAAGUUCAUGUUAUGUCACUUUUAAUUCUCAUUUUGAGGAUGUAUCUGAACUUUAUUAUUAUUUGAAAAUAUAUUUAAUUAGUGGGGAUGAGCUUUGAGAAAAAUGGUUGAGCAGAUGCAAGAAAAGUUCAAGAAGUAUUGGGGUGUGCCUGAAAAGAUGAAUAAAAUAAUUUGUAUUGCUUCCGUCUUGGAUCCAAACAAAUUUGAAUAUGUUAGCCUUGCACUUGAAGAACUUUUUGGGGAGGAAAAAGGGGAAGAAAAUAAAUGCAAAGGUGUAUGCUUAUAUGAAUUCUUUGUUUGAAAAGUAUCUAAAAAAGUAUUCAAGUGGAUCUUGUCCUCAAUCUCCAUCUAGUUCUACUUCAUCUAAUAACACAUCUAAUACAUCUAGUGGGAGUGUUAUAACUGCAUCAUUAAUAAGGACAAAGUUUCACUUGAAGAAACAAAAGGAAGACAAUGGAAGUGAGGGUGCUAAAUCGGAGUUGGAUAAAUACAUUAGUGAAGAACAAGAGCCUUUUAGUGAAAAAUUUGAUAUCUUAAGUUGGUGAAAAACACAUGUUCCUAGAUUGCCUAUUCUUUCAGAGUUGGCUCGUGAUGUGUUGGCCAUUCCAACUUCUAGUGUGGCGUUGGAAUGUGCAUUUAGCACCGGUGGCCAUAUUCUUGAUUCAUUUAGGAGUUCAUUGACUUCUAAAUGUGUGCAAGCUCUUGUUUGUGUUCAAGAUUGGCUUAGAGAAGAGAAGAAUCCUAUUAGUGUUGAAGAAGACUGGAGUAUCUUGAGGAACUCGAGCUUGAUAAGUUUUAAUAUUUUGUGUGUAUUUUAGUUCAAAAUAAUAUAUCAUACUUGUUUAUUUGUAUGACAUAUUUGGUCUAAUUAUCUUUAGAUAUGGAAAAUAAUGGAAGCACUACUAGCAUUGUUUGAUGUAUAGUUGCAACUUGCAACUUGAGUGGUAAGUUUAAUACUCUAUUUGUUCGGUGAUAUAAUUUUGUAGUUUUGUUCUAUUAUCAUCAAAAAAUAAUAUUCUAACUUAUGAUUUAUUUUUAUUUUUUUAGGUUCAAGUGCAAUCAUGUCUCAUGCUCCUAAAGUACACUCUCAUAUUUGGAAACACUUUGAGGUGAUAGAAGAUAACUGAGAAGUUCGCAAAAUAGAGUGCAAGCAUUGUGGUCAAGAAGUUAGCUACUAAAGCUGCCCAAACAUACUCACUGUGUCCAACCAAAAAUCCUAUGCUUAAGCAACUGUCUCAAAUGCCGUUUGUAUCCAAU
rnacentral:lncRNA from 1 species